AUUGAACGCUGGCGGCAGGCCUAACACAUGCAAGUCGAGCGGAUGAGUGGAGCUUGCUCCAUGAUUCAGCGGCGGACGGGUGAGUAAUGCCUAGGAAUCUGCCUGGUAGUGGGGGACAACGGUUUCGAAAGGAACGCUAAUACCGCAUACGUCCUACGGGAGAAAGCAGGGGACCUUCGGGCCUUGCGCUAUCAGAUGAGCCUAGGUCGGAUUAGCUAGUAGGUGAGGUAAUGGCUCACCUAGGCGACGAUCCGUAACUGGUCUGAGAGGAUGAUCAGUCACACUGGAACUGAGACACGGUCCAGACUCCUACGGGAGGCAGCAGUGGGGAAUAUUGGACAAUGGGCGAAAGCCUGAUCCAGCCAUGCCGCGUGUGUGAAGAAGGUCUUCGGA
rnacentral:rRNA from 1 species